GGUCAAUUCUGUCUCCCUUCAAAGCAAUUCAGCUCACGUGACAUCAUAUUUUAGAUGGACACUUUCAACAUUCAAACUACGGCAGUAGAGAAAAAGGCUCAAGUCAUCAUUCAAGUUAUUUCCCCUGUUUUUUUCAAUCGCUUUGCCAUGGUCAAAUGCCAUUAAAGGGUUAUUUUACUGGUGGUGCCAUCAGAGAAAGCUACGACUUUGCCACCCACGUUAACCGGCUGCUCUGCACUUCACAGCUGGUGGUGGUAGUGUCCAGAAGUGGGGGACGUUCAAGUUUUUCUUUGCGAUUUCCCAGGGAACAACUGUCAUUUUCCUUGGCCAAGAGCUGGACAAGACGAGGUGCAGGGCGGACAUGUUGUAUGGAAAACUGACAAAGGAGUCAUCCCGUUGUCCCAUUUGGCACAAUCAUGUUGAUGUAAAGCAUGCCGCUUGUACUUGUUUACAUGCGCGGCUGUGAAACACGUUGUCAGGAACAUGGCGGCGUGCCAGGUAAUUCUGCAUCGCCUUCUUUUUUUUCCCGGUGGCCGUGCCAAACGAGACGACACCCAUCGCCUGCAUGGAUCUGCUCUGAGUCAGCACACGAACACAACAUUACAACUAGUCACUAAAUGUGGCGCUAGCGAGUUUAGCCUGCUAUGAUAACAAGGUUAGCCACUUAGCUCACUAAACAAAAUGCUAACCCUAACCCUAAUGCCAAGUCAAUAUCCGUGGUGCUUGCGAGUUUAGCCAGCGAAGCUUAA